GCAGCGAUGUUCGAGUGGUUGAGGAGAUUGACUAGAAAUCAAUUGGGCUCUGCCUGUGUAGGUUCGAAACCUGCUCGCUGCA
rfam:Angiostrongylus cantonensis strain Taiwan genome assembly, scaffold: ACAC_contig0000778